GAACUACAGACAGAGGAUUCUUAACUCAAAAUGAGACAGAUAUUUUCAACUCCUUUAACUAUCCUAGGUUGAGAAUAUCACAGAUUUAAAAUGUAGGUCAUGCUCUAAGCUUACGCAGCAUCAUGACUUAGUCACAUGAACGUUGUGAGUUUCAGCUGUUCACUCUGAUGCACCACAAGAGAGUAGACUACUACAUAGUGAUAGUCCUGAAAAGAUCCAAGCUCAAGAUCAGAAAGUAUACUGGUUCCUGAAAGUGCGUCAUUUUUAUACCAUGAAUUUAGGGGAUGGAAAUGGAGUAGAGCCUCAAGAAAAGAAGGUCCAGCAACAGGCUCAAAGCUGGAUCCAGCUCAAGGGGAGCCCAUUACUGACACCAUUACCGAGGCUAUGGGAUGCUCAUAAAACAGGACCUAUCAUGACUGCCUUCCAAAAGACCCAACAAGCAGCUGAAAGAGUCAGUUGCUGGUAUGUGCAUCAAACCAAUGAACAGAAGCUGCUGACUCCUCUGUUGAAUUAAGGAAAAGCUGGAGGAAGCUGAGGAGGAGGGCAACCCUUUAGGAGUAUCAGCAGUCUCAAUUAAUCUGGACGCCCGAGAUCUCUCAGACACUGGAUCAGGCAGCAGACACCAGCUGAGAUGAGGCCCCCAACACAUAUACAGAAGAGGACUCCUGGGUCUGGGUUCAGUCAGAGAAGAUGCACCUAACCCUCAAGAGACUGGAGGAAGGCCUCUCCAAUUUUCCCGGCCUGGCAGUCCAAAAUUGAUCCUGCUGUAGGACCUGUGUCCCUAACAAAGCCUGCGACAUAACAGGAACCUAGUGGAGUGACUGGGUGGUAAUGGGUUUGAAAAUAAGUCCUUAAAGCCAAACCUAAAGAAGACAGCAGCCUUUAUUCAACUACACCCAUCAAGGGGAAAUGGAGAUAUAGAAAAUGUCUGGUUCUCAAAGGAUCCGUGUGUUGUAUAGGGAACUCUUCUCCAGGACACAUCUUCUGUCCGAGGUCUAAAGGAAUGCAUCCAAAGUUGUGGAGAGAGCUUUCUGUGCAAAGUGGCAGGUGCAGAGUGGAGCCCGCUAAGAGAAGGAUGUGUGCUGCAGGCCGGAGGGAAAGAACAGUGCAGAAGCCAGUCAGAAUUGUGGGGUUUGCUGUUUGCCCUCCUGAGUUGUGGGCUCCAUAGUUAUGAUAUUGCCAUGAGUUUCAGAGGAGCUGGAACAAGGAAAGUACAGGAUAGCCAAAAGAACUUACUAUCUCAAAGUAGAAGGAAGAAGUCAAAGAAUAAAGGAACUCCGAAGACAAAGAGUGGACCCAGAGAAGUAUGAAGACCUUGAUCUUCACAAUAAUAAUUACUACAGAAUGAUAAAUCAUUGAAUAAAUACUACAAACACACGACUAUGUCAGAUGUGGGAAUUAGAUGCUAGUUCAUAAAGAUGGAAGGAAUAAUUCAUUAGAUAAAUCAGUCAUCGGCAGCAAUGGUGGUAAUAAUUAAACUGAGAAAUAUCUAUGGAUGAAAAUUAAGUGGGUGAAGAUCUGAAAUGAUAUUUACAUAAUGUGAGAGAAGUAGUUCUCAUAACAUAUUUGUGUGUUAAGAAGAAAACAAGCUUAGCAUUUGGAAAGGUCUGGCAGGCAGUAUCUUAGCCCAAUUACAGACUUAACUCCAAGGAAACACAACAAAAAGCAGCUGCCAGGGCUGGGAAGAUGCACAAAACCUCCUAGAAAAGGUGGGCGUUCAAUCCCAUAGCAAUGUAAAACCAAGUAGGCUCAAUUUGGGGACAGAGUGCAGAUAACUGGCCCUAUGUUUUCAAAAUAUCAAGGUCAAGAUGGUUGAAAACGACCAGAGAAAGCAUUUCAGGAUACUAUGACAUUGUUGGCCAACCUUGCAUCUUCUGUGAAGUGGUUGCUGCAGCCUGGAUGGAGGCUGAGGCCCAGAAUGACCCCAGGGAAUGGCAUAAUGAAGAUGGGUCAAGAUAAACUUCACAGGCAUGAGACUUCCAUAUUAGAGGGAUCCCAGCCUAAAGGAUGGUGCUACCCAAAGGUGUGUACUUCUUCCUUAGUUCAAACUUUUUUCAAAACUCCCUCACAGACAUUCCCAGAAGUGUGUCUCCUAGGUGAUCCCAAACCUAGUCAAGUACAACUCAUUUAUUAGUUGAACUCUUUAUUUUAAAGACUGCCCAAAGAGAAC
rnacentral:lncRNA from 1 species